ACCAACAGGGAUUGCCCCAGUAACGGCGAGUGAAGCGGCAACAGCUCAAAUUUGAAAUCUGGCCCCCCGGGUCCGAGUUGUAAUUUGCAGAGGAUGCUUCGGGCGAGGUGCCUUCCGAGUUCCCUGGAACGGGACGCCACAGAGGGUGAGAGCCCCGUCUGGUCGGACACCGAGCCCGUGUGAAGCUCCUUCGAAGAGUCGAGUAGUUUGGGAAUGCUGCUCAAAAUGGGAGGUAUAUGUCUUCUAAAGCUAAAUAUUGGCCAGAGACCGAUAGCGCACAAGUAGAGUGAUCGAAAGAUGAAAAGCACUUUGAAAAGAGGGUUAAAAAGUACGUGAAAUUGUUGAAAGGGAAGCGCCCAUGACCAGACUUGGGCCCGGUGAAUCACCGGCGUUCUCGCCGGUGCACUUUGCCGGGCACAGGCCAGCAUCAGUUUGGCGCGGGGGACAAAGGCUUCGGGAACGUGGCUCCCUCGGGAGUGUUAUAGCCCGCUGCGUAAUACCCUGCGCCGGACUGAGGUACGCGCAUCGCAAGGAUGCUGGCGUAAUGGUCAUCAGCGACC
rnacentral:rRNA from 1 species